GCUCAGUCAGCGGAUCGUUGUUGGGAUGGUGCUCAGGAGCAGACAUUCCACACCAGGGCAGAACAGACCCAGGCACCUGGUGGGGUGCCCUACAUAAGGCUUCUAACUCCCUACAAGGAGAGAAUCCUGGCCCUGGCAGGAAAAGACUGGGACCGCUCCUGCAGGGAUGCAGAGACAUCAUGUCCCAUCAACUGAGUGUCUUGCAGGUACCAGUGGGAUGUUCAUGACCUUGCCAAGCCACCUCCCGUACUUCUGAGGAAGAGCAUACUGAGACCUCGGAGGAAGCAUUGAAAAGGCUGCCUCCUACAUCCUCCAACACCCCAGCCACAGACACCUCAACGGAAAUAUCAGGCUUGGAAAGCUUAGACACCACAUUCUGAUGGGCACCUUGGUGUGACAGCUCUGUGCCUGGCAGAGAGAGAAAUGCCUCAGAGUUCUGGCACUUGGAGGUAUAUCAGAGACCAGGCUCUUGCUCAGUCCCAGGCCAGAUAAUCAGGGAUUUUGUCUAUGUGCACAGAGAAGACCAGGAGCAAUGGGAGAGGUCAUGAUUUUGUAGCAUUAUCACUAGAUCUUGAUCUGGAGACCCCGUGAUGUUCUGGGGACCCAGCUUCAAAACCUGCCAGAGUAGAAGGUGAAAUUAGAAUUCAAUAAAAAUUUAAAAAUCAAACGAUGACCAUGGAACCAUUGUCAAUUGUCCUAAAAACACAGCUGGACCACCAAUGCCUUUUAGGGAGGGAAACUGCUGCCUAGUCUACAUCUGACUCCAGACCCAUACCAAUGAGGUUGACUCUUAACCGCCCUCUAGGCAAAUAGGAAUGAGCCAUAAAUGCUGGCACAGCCAGUUACUGCCAAUUCCUAUAAAUGAAUAAAGGAGGCAG